rnacentral:lncRNA from 1 species
GAGCAAAUAGGACCUACCUCCCAGGACACCUGGGAGGAUGAAAUGAGAUCACGUGUGUGAAGCUCUUAGCAUGGCGUGGGGGACACAGCAAGUGCAGGGGACGCAGCAACAGUGUGGCGGCUGCUACAUCACGGAGGCUGCACUGGGCAGGUGUUCUGCAUACAUUAAAAUCUAAUUGAAUCCUCACAACAGCUCCACGGAACAGUUGUCAAGGCUGACCCAGAACCUAAGGGAGACAGACCAGAGGGAUAAAUCCAGAGAUAGAAAUGAGGUGUGGGGAGGUAAAAAGGAAGUGACCUGUCCCACAGUGAAUCUGCAGAAAAGCCAGUGAAGACCAGGUGGAUGAAAAUGAGGCUGGGGCCAUGCCCAUGGGGAGAUGUUGGACGAUGCUUGAGUGCAAGAUGGCAGCAGGCCGGGAGAGGCCCAGAAGAGAACUCACCACGCCGUGGGGGUGAGUAGCGGGAGGGACAGCAGCAUGUGCAUCCCCCAAAGGCCUCCAGUUUGUUUGUAAAGUCUCAGGCAGGAAUCUGCCCUUGUGAUCCUGAGGCCUCAUGUUUCAGGGCUCAAAGCUGGCCCUGGGGACAGGAGGUGGCAACUGGUGUCUGACCCCCUAAACCUGGUGCCUCCACUGAUCAACAGACCAGAUAAGGGACAGGUCACCCCCUGACCUUAGGGCCUUGAGGCCCAGGGCGGGGAGUGGGUGGUGGUGCUGCAGUUAGAGGAUCCCAUUCUCAGGACAGUAAACCCUCGAAAGAACUUCUCACCCACUAUUUUCCAAGCUUUAGUCACUUGCAUUCUGCUUUCAUAAUGUUGACCAUUUCCAAGUUCCCUUGUAUUUUUAAACUUAAAAUAAAG